rnacentral:rRNA from 1 species
AGGGAAUAUUGCAAAAUGGGCGAAAGCCCGAUGCAGCAACGCCGCGUGGGCGAUGAAGGCCUUCAGGUCGUAAAGCCCUUUUUGAGGGGAUGAGGAAGGACAGUACCCUCAGAAUAAGCCUCGGCUAACUACGUGCCAGCAGCCGCGGUAAAACGUAGGAGGCGAGCGUUAUCCGGAUUUACUGGGCGUAAAGCGCGUGCAGGCGGAUUGGAGAGUUGGAUGUGAAAGCUCCCGGCUUAACUGGGAGAGGUCGUUCAAUACUUCCAGUCUUGAGUGCAGUAGAGGGCAGUGGAAUUCCGGGUGUAGUGGUGAAAUGCGUAGAUAUCCGGAGGAACACCAGUGGCGAAAGCGGCUUCCUGGACUGUAACUGACGCUCAGACGCGAAAGCUAGGGUAGCAAACG